rnacentral:rRNA from 1 species
GGCAAACGGGGUAGUAACAGGCAGGAACAUACCCUUGAGUCAGGAAUAACCCGGAGAAAUCCGGGACAAUACUUGAUAGUCCCUACGGGGUAAAGAUUUAUCGCUCAAGGAAUGGCCUGCUUCGUAUCAGCUAGUUGGGAGUGUAAUGGACUACCAAGGCUAUGACGCGUAGGGGAGGUGAGAGCCUGACCCCCACCAUUGGCACUGCGACACGGGCCAAACACCUACGGGUGGCUGCAGUCGAGAAUCUUCCGCAAUGCACGAAAGUGUGACGGAGCGACGCCGCGUGAUGGAUGAAGCACUUCGGUGUGUAAACAUCUUUUAUAGAGGAGGAAGUUUAUUGACGUUACUCUAUGAAUAAGGGGCUCCUAAUCUGGUGCCAGCAGGAGCGGUAAUACCAGAGCCCCGAGCGUUAUCCGAAAUUACUGGGCGUAAAGGGUGCGUAGGUGGUUGUAUUAGUCAGAGGUUAAAGACCGGUGCUCAACAUCGGGAAGGCCUUUGAAACGGUACGACUAGAGUGUAGGAGAGGUAUACGGAACUCUCGGUGUAGGGGUGAAAUCCGUUGAUAUCGAGGGGAACACCAAAUGCGAAGGCAGUAUACUGGCCUGCUACUGACACUGAGGCACGAAACCCUGGGUAGCGAAUGGGAUUAGAUACCCCAGUAGUCCAGGGCCUAAAUGAUGCAGACUAGCUUUUGGGAGUAUCAACCCUCUCAGAGGCGUAGCUAACGCGUUAAGUCUGCCGCCUGGGAAGUACGGCCGCUAGGCUAAUACUCAAAGGAAUAGACGGGGACUCGCACAAGCGGUGGACCAUGUGGCUUAAUUCGAUGAUCCGCGAAGAACCUUACCAAGACUAGACAUUCACAGGAAGUUUUCCCGAAAAGGAAUUCGUCUUCGGACCUGUGAACAGGUGAUGCAUGGCCGUCGUCAGUUCGUGGGCUUGAGCUGUUCCCUUAAGUGGGGUAACGAACGCAACCCUCGUCGUGUGUUAGAUAUGUCACGCGAGACUGCCUCUUAUAGAGGAGGAAGGUGAGGAUGACGCCAGGUCAGCAUGU